AUGCUGGAGGUAUCAGAAGUGCGAAUGCUGACAUAAGUAACGAUAAAGCGGGUGAAAAGCCCGCUCGCCGGAAGACCAAGGGUUCCUGUCCAACGUUAAUCGGGGCAGGGUGAGUCGACCCCUAAGGCGAGGCCGAAAGGCGUAGUCGAUGGGAAACAGGUUAAUAUUCCUGUACUUGGUGUUACUGCGAAGGGGGGACGGAGAAGGCUAUGUUGGCCGGGCGACGGUUGUCCCGGUUUAAGCGUGUAGGCUGGUUUUCCAGGCAAAUCCGGAAAAUCAAGGCUGAGGCGUGAUGACGAGGCACUACGGUGCUGAAGCAACAAAUGCCCUGCUUCCAGGAAAAGCCUCUAAGCAUCAGGUAACAUCAAAUCGUACCCCAAACCGACACAGGUGGUCAGGUAGAGAAUACCAAGGCGCUUGAGAGAACUCGGGUGAAGGAACUAGGCAAAAUGGUGCCGUAACUUCGGGAGAAGGCACGCUGAUAUGUAGGUGAAGUCCCUCGCGGAUGGAGCUGAAAUCAGUCGAAGAUACCAGCUGGCUGCAACUGUUUAUUAAAAACACAGCACUGUGCAAACACGAAAGUGGACGUAUACGGUGUGACGCCUGCCCGGUGCCGGAAGGUUAAUUGAUGGGGUUAGCCGCAAGGCGAAGCUCUUGAUCGAAGCCCCGGUAAACGGCGGCCGUAACUAUAACGGUCCUAAGGUAGCGAAAUUCCUUGUCGGGUAAGUUCCGACCUGCACGAAUGGCGUAAUGAUGGCCAGGCUGUCUCCACCCGAGACUCAGUGAAAUUGAACUCGCUGUGAAGAUGCAGUGUACCCGCGGCAAGACGGAAAGACCCCGUGAACCUUUACUAUAGCUUGACACUGAACAUUGAGCCUUGAUGUGUAGGAUAGGUGGGAGGCUUUGAAGUGUGGACGCCAGUCUGCAUGGAGCCGACCUUGAAAUACCACCCUUUAAUGUUUGAUGUUCUAACGUUGACCCGUAAUCCGGGUUGCGGACAGUGUCUGGUGGGUAGUUUGACUGGGGCGGUCUCCUCCUAAAGAGUAACGGAGGAGCACGAAGGUUGGCUAAUCCUGGUCGGACAUCAGGAGGUUAGUGCAAUGGCAUAAGCCAGCUUGACUGCGAGCGUGACGGCGCGAGCAGGUGCGAAAGCAGGUCAUAGUGAUCCGGUGGUUCUGAAUGGAAGGGCCAUCGCUCAACGGAUAAAAGGUACUCCGGGGAUAACAGGCUGAUACCGCCCAAGAGUUCAUAUCGACGGCGGUGUUUGGCACCUCGAUGUCGGCUCAUCACAUCCUGGGGCUGAAGUAGGUCCCAAGGGUAUGGCUGUUCGCCAUUUAAAGUGGUACGCGAGCUGGGUUUAGAACGUCGUGAGACAGUUCGGUCCCUAUCUGCCGUGGGCGCUGGAGAACUGAGGGGGGCUGCUCCUAGUACGAGAGGACCGGAGUGGACGCAUCACUGGUGUUCGGGUUGUCAUGCCAAUGGCACUGCCCGGUAGCUAAAUGCGGAAGAGAUAAGUGCUGAAAGCAUCUAAGCACGAAACUUGCCCCGAGAUGAGUUCUCCCUGACUCCUUGAGAGUCCUGAAGGAACGUUGAAGACGACGACGUUGAUAGGCCGGGUGUGUAAGCGCAGC
rnacentral:rRNA from 1 species